UUUUGGUGCUCACUGACGUCAGUAUUAUUGGUACCGUAAAACUUGGAGCAUAUUGCGCACGAGAAAAAGGUGGGAAGAUCUCUUAUAAUAUACUACACUAUAAAGUACUUACACUGUUAAAGGCUUAAACAGCUCAUUAGAAGUUAAACAGUCAGUAUUGCUUGAACGCCUGGUGCGCAGUAAUUUUUUUGAGGAAGGUAUACUAGUGUAACACCGGUAACCUAUGAGCCGCAGUUGCAUCUCGUGUUUAUUAUAGAGACCUCGCACACAUUGCAUUAGACUUCUCCUGUCCAACAGAGCAGCACCUCUGCCUUUGCUCGGGUACAGCAGCCUAAUAAACCAUACAGUCAGGUUUGUUUUGUGUGUGUGCAAAACUAUACAUUAAGGAAUUAGCUGUGAAGGUGAAAACGGAGUUGAUGCCAGAUUUCGAGCACUUCCGAUUUUCCUGCUCUAGAAUGAAUCCCAGUUUAGGCGCGAGCGCGUACGCGGUCCAGCAGCCGCAGAAUCCCGGGACGCGUUUCUCAGACCCGGAGCCCGGCUACGCAUCACCCGAUCCGGGUUUCUGCUUGGGAGAUACUGGACAAGAUAGUCUGGAUUCGGGCUCUCUGUCCAACAGCUUUCAGUAUUUACAUCCGAGCGGCUCUCUGCACCGCGCAUCCCUUCUUCCUCCUCUUCCUUUUCUUCCUCUUCCUCCUCCUGCAGCUCCUCCUGGUGCGGCGGCUCUGCGCAACGAUCUAGGCUCCAACAUCAGCGUCCUAAAGACUCUGAACCUGCGAUUCCGCUGCUUCUUGGCCAAAGUGCAUGAGCUAGAGCGCCGGAACAAAGCGCUGGAAAUUCAGCUUCAGCAGGCCCUGGAGGCUAAUAAUAAUGACAGAGGAUGUGGACAAGGUAAAAGAAAUGCCACUGUCCACUCAGGACCAGACUUUAUAGCAAGUUCAAAUGCAAAUGAUUCUGCAUGUUUGACCAGAACUUUAUUAGGACCAACACUUAAUGGCACCGGACUCAUGCCCAGAAACAAGAUACUGGUUGGAAAUUUGGACUCAGUAAGUGUGAUGGACUCAAAUUCCAAUCUUUCCCCACCUUUCCCCCUUAACCCAGUAUCUCCAGUUGAUCCUAAGUCCAUCUCCAGUAUCAGAGAGAGCUAUGAUGGCAAUGGGACAGAAAGGUUUACCAACUCUACGCCUCAGGUUUUACCCACCUCGAUUUGGUUUCACAACCCUGCUGGGAGGUUCAACAAUAGCUGGGAGUUGAGGGUUUCUGGUCCCAGAGUGUCAUGGCCAUACGAGGACGGGGUUGGGGUCCAAAUCGACACCAUCACACCAGAAAUCCGGGCCCUUAAUAAUGUACUGGCCAAAGUGAAGCUGGAGAGGGAUGAAUACAAGCAAAGGUGGGAGGAGGAGUAUGCAGUAAGAGUGGACCUACAGGAGAAGAUCGCAGAACUAGAAGAGGACCUGUACAUGAGCGAGAUGUGUCAGGAUAAGCUUGCUCUCCGAGUAAAGCAGCUAAAGGCUGAGCUCAUUGUCUUCAAGGGCCUCAUGAGCAACAACCUCUCAGAGUUGGACAGUAAGAUCCAGGAGAAGGCCAUGAAGGUGGACAUGGACAUUUGCCGACGGAUUGAUAUCACUGCACGCCUGUGCGAUGUAGCCCAGCAACGGAACUGUGAGGACAUGAGUCAGAUCUUCCAGCAGGUGGCUACACCUCCCUCAACACUGACCCGCUGUCAUUGCAAACAGACCUCACAGACCAAUAAGUCCAACAAUAGUGAAGACUCAGUCAGCAUUUCUGAGAGUGAGGAGAGCAAGAACAAAGAGACGGAGCUGUGUGGCUCAAUGACCAAUCCGGUUAAUGAAGAAAUGCAGAGGAUGCUCAACCAACUGCAUGACUGUGAGUUUGAGGAUGACUGUGAUAGUCUGGCAUGGGAAGAAACAGAAGAAACAUUACUGCUUUGGGGAGAUUUCCCAGCAUGCACCUUGGCUAUGGACACUAAUGGGGAGCAGGACGAGUCCAUAGAGAAGGUGAUAAAGGACACAGAGUCUAUGUUCAAGUCUCGUGAGAAGGAAUAUCAAGAGACCAUAGACCAGAUUGAGCUGGAGUUGGCCACAGCAAAAUCAGAUAUGAACAGACACCUGCAUGAGUACAUGGAGAUGUGCAGUAUGAAGAGGGGCCUGGAUGUGCAGAUGGAGACAUGUAGGAGGCUCAUUUCACAGAGCGGGGACAGAAAAUCUUCCCUUCCAAUUUCUGUGACUUUGGAGGAUGCAGAAGAAGGAGAGAAGGAGAGAAAGAAGGCAAGUCUUCUCUCAGACGCUGCCAGCACUGAGUCAUGCUGCGACAAUCUAAACAACCCUUCUGUUGCUCACCUACUUUGGAGGAAGUCCUGACAGACUUUUGUGUCUGCCAAGCCCUAUUUUUUCUAAAGAUGCAAUUAUAUAGAAAGCUCUGACCUGCCGAGGCAUGAACUCUACAAGACCUCUGAAGGUACCCUGUGAUAUCUGGCACCAAGAUGUUAGCAGCAGAUCCUUUAAGUUGUGAGGUGGGGCCUCCAUGGAUCAGGUUUGUUUGUAUAGCACAUCCCACAAAUGCUUGAUCGGAUUGAGAUCUGGAGAAUUUGGAGGCCAAGUAAACACCUUGAAGUCUUCAUCAUGUUUCUCAAACCAUUCCUGAACAAUGUGUGCUAUGGGUCAGGGCACGUUAUCCUGCUGAAAGAGGCCACUGCCAUUAGGGAAUACUGUUGCCAUGAAGGGGUGUACUGACUGCAACAAUCUACAUGAAUGCCAGGACCCAAGGUUUCCCAGCAGAACAUUGCCCAGAGCAUCACACACCAUCCUCCGACUUGUCUUCUUCCCACAGUGCAUCCUGGUGCCAUCACUUCCCCAGGUAAAAGGGGCAUAUGUAUCGGGGCGUCCGUGUGAUAUAAAAGAAAAUGGGACUCAUCGGACCAGGCGACCUUCUUCCCAUUGUAAGCCCAUUGUUUUAGAUAGUAGGCAUGGGUUAGCAUGGGCACUCUGACCGGUCUGUGGCUUAUGCGCAGCAGGGUGUGAUGCAGUGUGUGUUGUGACAUAUUCCUUCCAUAACCAUCAUUAAAAUUUUCUAUGACUUGUGCCACAGUAGCCCUUAUGUCAGUUCGGACCAGACAGGAUAGACAUUGUUGCCCUUGUUUAUUGAUCAGCCUUGGGCACCCAACACCUGGUUUCCAGUUCGUGGUUUGUGGACCACUGUUGGACCAUUGUUGGUAGGUACUCACUACUGCUGACUAGGAGCACCCCAAAAGCCUUGUUGUUUUGGAGAUGCUUUGACCCAGUCACCUGGCUGUAAGGAUCUGGCCCUUGUCAAAGUCACUAAUCCACCCAUUUCUCCCGCAUUCAGCGUGUCGACUAUGAGAACCGACUGUUUACUUACUGUCUAAUAUAUUCCAGACCUUGACACGUGCCAUUGUUUUGAGAUAAUCAGUGUUAUUCACUUCAUCUGUGAAUGGUCCAAAAGUUGUGAGUGGUCCCAAUACAUCCUGAUGCAUUUCAGUCCAUUUUAGUUCUAGGUUGUAACACUCCAAAAUGUGGAAUGGGUCAAGAGGGUGAAUACUUAUGAAUGGCAAUGUAAUGCUUAAAUUGCUGAGCUAAGAAGCAUCCAGAUAUGUUAAUCGAACAUAGUUUUCGCACUUGCACUGAACGAAGUGAGCAAAUGUGCUGUUAUUAGUUUUCUGCUGGCGGCUUUGCUGCUUUCAAAAGUGUUUUUACAGAUUGUUUUACAAUUUAUGCCAGACUCACAGUAUAUAAAAUAUAUAAGUCUAGCAUCUUAUAAUUGCUAGCAUUUAGGCAUUUAGGCACAUCUUUGUUGUAUUCCAGGGACAGAAUAAGUUCAGAAUUUACUCAGUUUAAACUACUUAUAGAAAUAGUUAGAAACAUAGGGCUCAGUGGCACUACAGAAAAGCAUUCGCCCUAUCAUGCGGAGAUUGCGAGUCGAAUCCCCAUCUGUGGCUGGGUGUCCAAGAGAGCAAAAUUGGACAUGCUCUCAGGGAAGGGGUUAGCAUACUCUAUUUCCACUAUCAAUCACAGCAACACUAGCCAAUCAGGGGUGUCUGUGAGCUCAUGCAUUUGGAAGUGGGCGGAUAGCGCUCUGAGUGUGUUACGCUGCCCCCUGACGUUGAAUGUGUAGCAGUUCAUGACGAUGCGGUCGGCUGGCUUCACGUGUCUCGGAGGAAGCAUAUGAUUGUCUUCGCCCUGGUUGGUAGCUGUCUUAUGACGUGGAGACGUAACUGGCCAUGACUAAUUUAGGGAGAAAAUCGGGGGAAAUGCAUGCAGUUAGAAAUAGUUAUAAAUAGUACAAUUGAAACUAACUGAGUAAAAUAAGUAAACAUUAACAAACCCUAAUUCAGCUUCUUCAAAUAUCUUCAUUAGUAUAGCCGAAUUGAGCUGUUUAAGAUAGAUUCAAAUCACGAUAAAUCAUGAGACAAUUAUCUAUUUUUAUGCAUACAAUGUAGUAAGACAUCCAGAAAUUUAGUCUAAUGUGGUGACUGGAUUAAAAAAUCUGUCAUAAAAUCAUAGGCUAUUGUGUGCACAAGAUUUAUCUACUUUAUUUGUGCUUUUUCAAUUUUGAAUGUGUCCAUGUUUUGAUUUAUUUCUUUCUAAUCUAAAGAAACUGUGCACAAUUUAAUUUGACUAGGGAUAAUUUUUUUGUUACAAAGAAACUGAGUUUGUAAUUCAUUAUCUAAUGGAGUUAUUAAGCAACCGACCCUGUUGCUGAUGAAAACUAACCAUCAAGCCUGUCUUGGAUUUUGCCAGAAGAACAGAAGAACUGUAGCAAAUUCUCCAGUAUGAAAGUGUACCUAGAGAAUUUAUUUAUUUAUAAGUUUUAAAUGCAAGGCAAAUUAUGAUUUGACCAUUUUUAUGGUUUUAUGCUUUUAUGGUUGUUUUUGUCCUAUAGUGAAUAUGUAUUUUACUUUACUUAUAUUUUGAAAUGAUAUGCUAAAACAAUUAGACAUAUGGUCCAAGAUAUAAGUGUGUACCUAUCCUGAACAAGAGCCUUAACAGAUGACAUCUUGUAUCGGUAAGUUACAAUGACUGGACUUUUAGUAUAAUCUUGAAGACAUUUUCUCACAGAACAGAUGCUGAUGAAUGGCGAAACAUCAUUAAUAUUAUACUAAACUUUUGUUGCCUUGGCCUUCUACUAGAUAUUUUACAGUGGUAUGGAUGAAUGCAGACAUGCGUCAUUGAUGUGUUAGACUUGAAGGGAAUUUCCUAUCAGUUUAACUGAUAAAAUUCCCGGGUUGAACAGUGAAAGUUCUCUGAGAUUGUAAUUUUCAAAGAGAGUCAUAAUAGAUAAAUGAAGUCAUUUCAUUUAAUUGUAAUGUAGGGAUCAUGAUCUCAGUUUACUGUCUGUGUUGGUGUUUCACAUGUUCUCCCUAUGUCUGUGAAACAGACUCUUAAGGACAAAAACAGGCCACUUUAGAAAGAGUUUCCGUCCUUCUUCUUGCCGACAGAGAACUCAACUCAUAACUGCUCUUCAGAUGCUGGUGAAAAGUCCCUGGUUCUCUUAAUCUCUACUGCCAUCAUGUUUUUUUGGGGUUUUUUUGCACAAACUGAACUGCACUGUUAUAUCUGUACUUUUAAUUCUGAUGGAUUCUGAUCAACUCCAGUCACUACUGGCUUCUGGUUUCAGGCCAUCUAUACUACUGCAACUUUUUGCACAUUUACUCUUCAGUGAAAUUUGCACUAGCUCAGUAUUAAUCUAUAUUUUAUGCACGUUUUGUCCUGUUUUCUUGUCUUACACUUUGUUUAGUAUACUAUGUACUAUUUAUUGUUGAUUGUUGAGCUGUACAAAAACCCAGUUACACCAACACCAUUGUGUGGUAAUAAAAGAAUCUUGAAUCUUGAAUCUAAAUUGAGUGUGUGAAUGUGUGUGUGCACAGUGCUCUGCCUCCUACCUCACACCCAGUGUUACUCCGGAUCCACCACGAUCCUAAACAGGUUACA